CUACGUGCCAGCAGCCGCGGUAAUACGGAGGGUGCGAGCGUUAAUCGGAAUAACUGGGCGUAAAGGGCACGCAGGCGGUGACUUAAGUGAGGUGUGAAAGCCCCGGGCUUAACCUGGGAAUUGCAUUUCAUACUGGGUCGCUAGAGUACUUUAGGGAGGGGUAGAAUUCCACGUGUAGCGGUGAAAUGCGUAGAGAUGUGGAGGAAUACCGAAGGCGAAGGCAGCCCCUUGGGAAUGUACUGACGCUCAUGUGCGAAAGCGUGGGGAGCAAACAGGAUUAGAUACCCUGGUAGUCCACGCUGUAAACGAUGUCGAUUUGGGGGUUGAACUUUAAGUUUGGCGCCCGUAGCUAACGUGAUAAAUCGACCGCCUGGGGAGUACGGCCGCAAGGUUAAAACUCAAAUGAAUUGACGGGGGCCCGCACAAGCGGUGGAGCAUGUGGUUUAAUUCGAUGCAACGCGAAGAACCUUACCUACUCUUGACAUCCAGA
rnacentral:rRNA from 1 species